rnacentral:rRNA from 1 species
GACGAACGCUGGCGGCGUGCUUAACACAUGCAAGUCGAACGAUGAAGAAAAGAGUUUACGCUUCUGCAGAAAUCCAUUUCGGAUUAGUGGCAGACGGGUGAGUAACCCGUUAGCAACCUACCUCUUACAAAGGGAUAGCCUCGGUAAACCGGGAUUAAUACCAUAUAACAUUGCAACGAAGCAUUUCGCUGCAAUCAAAGCUACGGCGGUAAGAGAUGGGCUCGCGUCCCAUUAACCAGAUGGUGCGGUAACGGCUCACCAUAGUAACGAUGGGUAACCGGCAUGAGAGGGUGAACGGUCACACUGGAAGUGAGACACGGUCCAGACUCCUACGGGAGGCAGCAGUGGGGAAUAUUGCACAAUGGAGGGAACUAUGAUGCAGCGACGCCGCGUGAGUGAUUAAGGAAUGAGUGUCGUAAAACUCUGUUCUAUGGGAAGAAAAGGACUGUACCAAAGGAGAAAGCUCCGGCUAAAUACGUG